AACGAACGCUGGCGGCAGGCCUAACACAUGCAAGUCGAACGCUGUAGCAAUACAGAGUGGCAGACGGGUGAGUAACACGUGGGAAUCUUCCUAUCGGUACGGAAUAGCUCAGGGAAACUUGGGGUAAUACCGCAUACGCCCUUCGGGGGAAAGAUUUAUCGCCGAUAGAAGAGCCCGCGUCUGAUUAGCUAGUUGGUGAGGUAAUGGCUCACCAAGGCGACGAUCAGGAGCUGGUCUGAGAGGAUGACCAGCCACACGGGGAAUGAGACACGGCCCAGACUCCUACGGGAGGCAGCAGUGGGGAAUAUUGGACAAUGGGCGCAAGCCUGAUCCAGCCAUGCCGCGUGAGUGACGAAGGUCUUCGGAUUGUAAAGCUCUUUUGGCGGGGACGAUAAUGACGGUACCCGCAGAAUAAGCCCCGGCUAACUUCGUGCCAGCCGCCGCCGUAACAC
rnacentral:rRNA from 1 species